rnacentral:snoRNA from 1 species
UCAAUUGAUGAUGAACGUUCUGCAAUUCUGACCGCGACUGCGCGACGACAAAACCAACGAUAACAUGACUACCGGCAUCUGAUGAG